rnacentral:rRNA from 1 species
GAUGAACGCUGGCGGCGUGCUUAACACAUGCAAGUCGAACGAAGCAUUUAGAACAGAUUACUUCGGUUUGAAGUUCUUUAUGACUGAGUGGCGGACGGGUGAGUAACGCGUGGGUAACCUGCCUUGUACUGGGGGAUAGCAGCUGGAAACGGCUGGUAAUACCGCAUAAGCGCACAAUGUUGCAUGACAUGGUGUGAAAAACUCCGGUGGUAUAAGAUGGACCCGCGUCUGAUUAGCUAGUUGGUGAGAUAACAGCCCACCAAGGCGACGAUCAGUAGCCGACAUGAGAGGGUGACCGGCCACAUUGGGACUGAGACACGGCCCAGACUCCUACGGGAGGCAGCAGUGGGGAAUAUUGCACAAUGGAGGAAACUCUGAUGCAGCGACGCCGCGUGAGUGAAGAAGUAAUUCGUUAUGUAAAGCUCUAUCAGCAGGGAAGAUAGUGACGGUACCUGACGAAGAAGCUCCGGCUAAAUACGUG